CCUACGGGUGGCAGCAGUGAGGAAUAUUGGUCAAUGGGCGCGAGCCUGAACCAGCCAAGUAGCGUGAAGGAUGACUGCCCUACGGGUUGUAACCUUCUUUUAUAAAGGAAUACAGUGAGGCACGUGUGCCUUUUUGUAUGUACUUUAUGUAUAAGGAUCGGCUAACUCCGUGCCAGCCGCCGCGGUACUACGGAGGAUCCGAGCGUUAUCCGGAUUUAUGGGGUUUAAAGGGAGCGUAGAUGGGUUGUUAAGUCAGUUGUGAAAGUUUGCGGCUCAACGGGACAAUUGCAAUUGAGACUGGCAGUCGUGAGUACAUGUGAGGUUGGCGGAAUUCGUGGUGUAGCGGUGAAAUGCGUAGAUAUCACGAAGAACACCGAUUGCGAAGGCAGCUUACUAAACUGCCACUGACAUUGAGGAGCGAAAGUGUGGGUAGCAAACAGGAUUAGAUACCCGAGUAGUC
rnacentral:rRNA from 1 species